AGCAGCCGCGGUAAUUCCGGCUCCAAUAGCGUAUAUUAAAGUUGUUGCAGUUAAAAAGCUCGUAGUUGAACUUCGGGGUUCACCCAUUGGUCAGGCUUAACUGUCUGCACUGGUGAGAUGAAUCUCUACCUUCUGAGGAACUUUCAUGCCAUUUAUUUGGUGUGAUGGGAAAUCAGGACUGUUACUUUGAAAAAAUUGAGUGUUUAAAGCAGGCUAACGUCUGAAUACAUUAGCAUGGAAUAAUGAAAUAGGACGGACUGGUUCUAUUUUGUUGGUUUCUAGGAUCACCGUAAUGAUUAAUAGGGAUAGUUGGGGGCAUUAGUAUUCAAUUGUCAGAGGUGAAAUUCUUGGAUUUAUUGAAGACUAACUACUGCGAAAGCAUUUGCCAAGGAUGUUUUCAUUAAUCAAGAACGAAAGUUAGGGGAUCGAAGACGAUCAGAUACCGUCGUAGUCUUAACCAUAAACUAUGCCGACUAGGGAUCGGAUGAUAAUUUUUUAAUGACUCAUUCGGCGUACCG
rnacentral:rRNA from 1 species